rnacentral:lncRNA from 1 species
GCACUAAGUCCAGCUCCCCCUCUCCAAGGCCAGCCCGACCCUUCCGACUGGACCAGCCGAUCCUCGUUGGACUCGGCCCGUACCUCAUCCUCUGGCCCAACCCGGAACCAAGAAGUAGAUCCGCAUGUCUCUUGUGUGGAUCCACCCGCAUACGCGUCCUGAAAGAAUCAGAGGCCGUUACGCAUGGAGCAGAGAUCUGAUUCCCUCGUACGUCCAUAUCAACGUAGCAGGGACAGGUGGACCAAUGAUAUACGUUCUGUUAGCACGUCAGUAGCAGACAAAAGGAAAUAUAUAAAAGGAGAAAUACUCUCCUUUAGGUCCAAGGCUUUUUUCGGUUUAACAGAACCCAUUGUAUCAAUUGGCGCCGUCUGUGGGAAACAAAGGAGAUAUUUUCAUCAUCGGAGUUCCACUCUUAACAAAACCCACUGAGAUCCACGAUGGCUAAUCACAAUGAAAGCAACCUUAACAUCCCAAAUGACCUGAGUUCUGCCCAAGAGGGGCAGCAGUUCUCCUUUUCUAGCCCUACAACACUAAACAACCAAACACCCAUUCCUCUCAAUCCCUCGCCAGGCUUGGCAGGGAAUGCUCCCAAUGCUGCCUUAUCUAACCAAGACCUUCAAACCAUGGCCAUCCAACUACAGAACACCGUCCACUGGUUGGGGCAGAUGAUGCAACAAAGAGGCCUCAGCACCCCGAUAAAUACACUACCAGUGGUAGAAGAACCCCAAACCAUUGAGCCCCAACCUGCCCUUGAUCGUCUUCAAACCAGCAGCCGUGAUACCGGAGAAAGAGGGAGAAGAGCCGGGGAAGAGGAAGAACUGAAGGUCCGAGUCCAUGGAAGGAGGGUGAGGGAGAUGAUAGAGAAUGAUGAGGCUGACAACAAUUCCGCCGGGACAACCAAGUGGACGAGAAGUGAAGCAGAGGAGAAGGAAUACCACCUAGAGAAGAAACCCAGGCUGGAAGAUGAGAAUGUAGACCAAAAGCUGCAGAAGUUGAGAGAGCAGCUCUUGGCCGAGUUGGGAAAAAAGGAUCAGAGCCAAACCUUCCUGCCCACUUCUUCACCUUUCUCGAAGCGGGUACAGCAGGAGACUGUUCCAAAGAAGUUUAUGAUGCCAUCAAUGACGGCUUAUGACGGAGCUGGAAACCCACGAGAGCAUGUCCUCAACUACAAGACUUUCAUGGAGCUGCAGACUCUGUCAGAUGCCUUGAUGUGCAAGGCAUUCCCAAUGACGCUCUCGGGGCCAGCGAGGGCGUGGUUUAAUAACCUUGAGGCUGGAAGUAUCAGCAGUUUUGGAGAUCUGGCCACUCGCUUCAUCAGCCGGUUUAUUGCCGGGGUGCCUGCGGAUAGGAAGACGAGCUACCUGGAAACAAUCAAGCAGAGAAGAGACGAAUCGCUCAGGGAGUACGUCGCUCGUUUCAAUACGGAGGCUCUGCAAAUUCCCGAGCUCGAUGAGGGAAGGGCGGUAGAGGCCAUGCAGAAGGGAAUGCCCUCUGCUGAGUUCUUCGGCUCACUAAGCAGGAAGCCUCCGACCUCACUAGCCGAGCUGAUGCAGAGGGCUAAAAAGUAUAUAAGGCAGGAUGAUGCCUUAGUGACAAGCCGAUUCGCCAAAGGAGCGGUAGGUAAGGAGAAAGCCCCGGAGGAAAGGAGGCCGGAGAAGCAUGGGAAGAAACAUGGCACAAGGCCUGAGCCUUACAGACAUCCCUAGGAACGAAGGGACCAAAGACCUCUCCCUCCUCGGGUCUCAGAACAAAGGCCACUCCCUUCGUGGGUCCCAGAGAAGCCGACUCCACUUAACGCUUCUAGAGCCAAAGUGCUUAUGGCCGUCCAAGACAAAGAAUUCGUAGAGUGGCCCAGACCCCUGAGAACAGAAGCCGACCAGCGAAAUCCUGACAAAUACUGUCAGUUCCAUCGCACUCAUGGCCAUGAUACCAAUAACUGCUUCCAGUUGAUCGCAGAAAUCGAGAGGUUGAUAAAAAGAGGGCACCUGAAGAACUUUGUGAAGAAACCAGAAGGACAAAGACCUCAACCCAAUUCAGCAACCCAAGCGCUGAGGAGAGCGGGAGCAGUGAAUGAUGGGUCUAGUGGGACUAUUAAUAUGAUUGUAGGGGGCACAGGAGGUCGGAUGAGUCGUAGAGGAAAGAAGAGGAGUCGAGAGGGAGAAAGCAGUGGCGCCGAGGUCAUGCAGGUCGUCGAACACUCUCCAGUGGCCAUCACUUUCUCUCCGGAGGAUGCUCAAGGUGUUCAAAUGCCCCAUGACGACGCCCUCGUCAUUGAAGCUGUCAUCCACAACUAUCGGGUGAAGAAAAUCUUAGUGGAUGAUGGGAGUAAGGUCAACCCGCUAUCCUACCGGGUCUUCCAGCAGAUGGAAAUCCCUGAAGAACAGUUGGUCCGGGAUUAGGCACCGGUCAAAGGAGUCGGAGGAGUCCCAGUACCUGUAGAAGGAAAGGUGAAGCUGGCUCUCACCCUAGGAGAAGCACCGAGGACUCGCACUCAUUAUGCGGUGUUCCUGGUAGUCAAACUUCCUCUGAGCUACAACGCGAUCCUGAGAAGAUUUGCGCUGUUUGACUUUGAGGUCGUCACCAGUAUCAGAUACCUGGCAAUGAAGUUCCCAACAGAAGCAGGGGUGGGAAUAGUUCGGGGAAGCCAAGAGGAAGCAAGGGCAGUGUACCUAGCCACGGUAGCAGAGUCGAGCUCAACAGAGGAGAGGCUGGAUUCAGAAGUCCUGGAGGUCCGAGACGAGAAAACCGAGGCCAGGACAGAACCGGUGGGGGAACUGGAGAUUUUUCCCUUAUCAGAAGUAGAAACAGAUAAAGUCUUCAGUCUCAACGCCGGCCUCACCAAAGAACAGAAAAUUGAGGUCAUGGCCCUGAUCCGAAGUCACGCAUCAAGCUUCGCCUGGAAACCUUCCGAUAUGCCAGGAAUUGACCCAAAAGUGAUGACACACAAGUUGAAUGUCCUCCCUGAAGCCAGACCAGUAAAGCAGAAGAAGAGGGUAGUAGGAAGAGAGAAGCAACAGGCUACCAAGGAGGAGGUACUGAAGCUAGAAGAGGCAGGCUUUAUUAGGGAAGUCAUGUACCCACAGUGGCUAGCUAAUCAUGUACUAGUCAAAAAAGUCAAUGGCAAAUAUAGGAUGUGCAUAGAUUUCACUGACCUAAAUCAGGUCUGUCCUAAAGAUUGUUAUCCCCUCCCUGAUAUUAAUAAAAUGGUUGACUCUACGGCCGAUUUUGAUUACAUGUCUUCUUUGGAUGCUAUGUCUGGCUAUUAUCAAAUCCCAAUGGACAGGUUAGAUGAAGAAAAGACCUCGUUCAUAACAAAAGAUGGGACAUACUGUUACAAAGCCAUGCCCUUCGGGCUAAAAAACGCCGGGGCAACAUACCAAAGACUGAUGAACAAAAUCUUCAAAAGCCAGAUCGGCAGAAACGUAGAGGUUUAUGUAGACGAUAUGGUAGUCAAAAGCCUAACUUUCCAGCAGCACAUAGCAGAUUUGAGGGAGGUAUUCGGAGUAUUAGACCAGUACAAAAUGAAGUUGAACCCAGCGAAAUGUGCCUUCUUCAUCAGAGGAGGAAAAUUCCUGGGGUACAUGGUGAGUGGGAAAGACAUCGAGCCCAACCCAGAGAAGGUAGAAGCCAUAUUGAAUAUGCCAGAACUGACCUAUGUAAGGGACGUCCAGAGACUGACCGGGAGAGUAGUGGCGCUUAAUCGAUUCAUGUCGAGGUCGGCAGAAAAGUGUUUACCAUUCUUCAAGAAGUUGAGGAAAGUGCCAAACUUCGAAUGGACAGAAGACUGUCGGGAAGCCUUCAAAGAACUCAAAAGCUAUCUCAGCUCGCCUCACGUGCUUAGUAGUCCCAUGGAAGGGGAGGAACUUCUGAUAUACCUGGCAGCCUCUGAACAAGCAGUCAGUGUCGUAUUGGUAAGGGUGGAAGAAGGAGAGCAGAAGCCUAUUUUCUAUGUCAGUAAGGUGCUUAAAGACGCCGAGGUCAGAUAUUUGAAUAUUGAGAAGAUAGCCUACGCUCUACUACUGGCAGUCCGAAAGUUCAAGGUUUAUUUGGAAAGCCACCAGGGAGUAGUAAUGAUCGAUCAACCCUUGAAGAAGAUUUUGCAUAGACCGGAGACCUCAGGUCGGAUGCUAGCUUGGUCCAUUGAGAUUAGUCCUUAUUGCUUAGAGUAUCGACCUCGAACAGCCAUAAAAUCUCAGGCUCUUGCUGAUUUCAUAGCAGAGUGCACUUUCAGUGAGGAACAAGGAGAAUCAUCUUCAGAAGUUUCGGGGAAGGAAAGAAAGGAAGAACAUUUCCAAAAGUUCAGCUGGAAGUUAUAUGUAGACGGGGCUUCAGGCGCCGAAGGUAGCGGUGCUGGAAUAAUGCUUAAGGGGCCUGGAGGAUUUAAGGUUUGCUAUGCCCUACGCUUAGAAUUCAAAGCCUCCAAUAACAUGGCGGAGUAUGAAGCCUUAAUAAACGGGAUGCUGGUGGCAAUGGAAGUAGGGGCAACUGACCUCGAAGUAAAUAGCGACUCACAGCUGGUGGUCAACUAGAUAACUGGGGCAUAUCAAGCCAGAGACCCAACCAUGCAGAGCUACCUGGCGAAAGUAAAAGCUAUAGAGGCUGAACUCAUAAAUCGGGGAGUUCCCAUCAAAUUUCAAAGAAUACCUUGAGAAGAAAAUGAGGAAGCCGACCUGCUUAGUCGGUUGUCCAAGGAAGAAUUAGAACAGCUCCCCGAUAAAGUGUACAUACAGCACGUCUACACGCCUGCUUUUAAUAAAACAAACACGGUAUUGCAGGUGGAACAAAACCCAACUUGGAUGACCCCAUACCUAGAAUACCUGGAGAAGGGAAAGCUCCCUGAGGAUAAAGAUGAAGCUAGAAAGAUAACAGCUCGUGCUGCCAACUAUCAAGCAAUAAAGGGGACCUUAUACAAAAAAGGGAAAUCCAGCCCGUGGCUUCGGUGUGUGAGCCCGGAUGAGGCUACAAAGGUGAUGGAAGAGAUACACAAGGGAAUGUGCGGAGCUCACGAAGGAGCAAGGACCUUAGCCAAUAAAAUAUUCAGGCAAGGGUACUACUGGCCCACUGUUAAAAGGGAGGCAGAAGAGUUUGUCCGAAGGUGCGACGUAUGCCAAAGAUUUGCUAACGCCAUCAAAGUUCCAGCCACUCCUCAAGCCAGCAUAUCCAGUCCAUGGCCAUUCUCAUAAUGGGGAAUAGACAUCCUGGGACCCUUCCCCAAGACCACGGGGCAGAGGAAAUUUGUAGUGGUGGCUGUAGAAUACUUCUCCAAAUGGCCAGAGGCGGAAGCAACAGCCACGAUCACAGCUCGCAAGAUGAUAUACUUCGUAUGGGGAAACAUCAUCUGUAGGUUUGGCAUACCGAGAGUACUCAUAUCUGACAAUGGCAGACAAUUUGACUGCAGCACCUUCAGAGCAUUUACGACAAACAUGGGCAUAUGGCACAAGUUUUCUUCAGUGGCCCAUCCUUAGACCAAUGGUCAAACAGAGGUUACCAACAGAGCUAUCCUCUAGGGAUUAAAGAAACGGCUAGAUGGGGCAAAGGCGAGCUGGGCAGAAGAGCUCAAUAGUAUCCUGUGGGCACUCCGAACUACCCCCAGAACGUCCACUAAAGAAACGCCCUUUGCACUUGCUUACGGCACAGAGACCGUAGUCCCAGUCGAGUUGCAAAUCCCCACUCAUCGAGUCCAAUUUGCUAACGAGAACAGCAACGACGACAAGUUAAGGAACAACUUGGACGCUCUCGAAGAAAUUAGGGAAGAGGCUCAAGUCCGAAUUGCUGCUUACCAACAAUGGGCAGCCCGUUAUUACAACCAAAGGGUCAGGGAAAGAAAUCUAAAGGUAGGGGACCUGGCCCUAAGAAACUUAGAAGCUACGGGAAAAAGAGCAGCAGUGGGCAAAUUGGCACCAACCUGGGAGGGCCCAUUCAGGAUAACGAAAGUGGUUAAGCUAGGAGUAUACCGAAUCGAAGAUAUGCAAGGAAAUCCUGAGCUCCAGGAUCCAACACCUGAAGAGAUAUUUCCCCUGAAAUAUUUGUAAAGAAAAACAUUGUACUCUGAAAAACAUGAAUGAAUAAAAUAACAUCAUUCCUUCCAAAACGAGAUUAUCUUUAUUAUUGUGAAUGAUUCUCUACAAAGAACAAAGCUCAGAAGACCUUUCUGAGAUAUAAAGAUCUCAGCAAGGUAGAAGACCUCACUAAAGAUAUAGAGAUCUCAGAGAGGUAGAAGGCCAGGAUCACCAAGACCUCCUAGCACAAGAAGAUCUCUCUGAGAUAUAGAGAUCUCAGAGAGAUAGAAGACCUCACUGAGAUAUAGAGAUCUCAGAGAGGCAGAAGACCUCACUGAGAUAUAGAGAUCUCAGGGAGGUAGAAGACAAGAAUCCCCAAGAUCUCCUGGCACUAAAAGAUCUCACUGAGAUAUAGAGAUCUCAGAGAGAUAGAAGACCUCACUGAGAUAUAGAGAUCUCAGAGAGGCAGAAGACCUCCCUGAGAUAUAGAGAUCUCAGAGAGGCAGAAGACCUCACUGAGAUAUAGAGAUCUCAGGGAGAUAGAAGACCAGGAUCCCCAAUAUCUCCUGGCACCAGAAGAUCUCACUGAGAUAUAGAGAUCUCAGAGAGAUAGAAGACCUCACUGAGAUAUAGAGAUCUCAGAGAGGCAGAAGACCUCCCUGAGAUAUAGAGAUCUCAGAGAGGCAGAAGACCUCACUGAGAUAUAGAGAUCUCAGGGAGGUAGAAGACCAGGAUCCCCAAGAUCUCCUGGCACCAGAAGAUCUCAUUGAGAUAUAGAGAUCUCAUUGAGAUAUAGAGAUCUCAGAGAGAUAGAAGACCUCACUGAGAUAUAGAGAUCUCAGAGAGGCAGAAGACCUCACUGAGAUAUAGAGAUCUCAGAGAGGCAGAAGACCUCACUGAGAUAUAGCGAUCUCAGAGAGGCAGAAGACCUCACUGAGAUAUAGAGAUCUCAGGGAGGUAGAAGACCAGGAUCCCCAAGAUCUCCUGGCACCAGAAGAUCUCACUGAGAUAUAGAGAUCUCAGAGAUAUAGAAGACCUCAUUGAGAUACAGAGAUCUCAGAGAAGUAAAAGACCUCACGAAUCCCAGGGAGGUAAAAGGACAUAGUUCCGACCUCCCACAAAAGAUUGGGGCAAUCAUAAGAGGCACCGACCUCAAAAAGUGACCGCUAGUCCUAAACCAGCUCAACUAGCCCAGAGAGAGGUCUAAACAGCAAAGAACCCACAAAAUGCUCGAGGAUAGGCAGCUCGGAAAAAGAAAGGUUAAGUCCGACCUCACAAACGAGCUCGGAACACCAAAGCGAAAAAAGAAAAAUUCCGAACUCCUGAGCUUGCGAAAUAAGCAGCGUCACGGACUAUAGGCAUAAAAACCUAAGUAAAGGGCAAAGAACCGAGCUCCCAGCUCGGAUAGACUCGCAACAUGAAACACUCAGGCAGAAUGAAGCUAAGUAUAAAGGAAAUAACAGAGAACCGAGCCCCUUCUAUGAAAAGGCCCAUAAAUGCAGGAACACAUAGGAGGAUAAACGAAGGCAAAGGACUGUGCUCACAGCUCGAGUCAGUUUGCCAUGAACAGACAUCCGAACUCAUAACCAAGAAGAAACGUAAAGUCGGCUAAAAUAAGCCCACGCGAUUACAAACAAAGUUUAGGGAUUUACCCCCUCACCACUCAUGUAGUGAAAUGUUGAGGAGGUAAAGGGGCAACUCGGGGAGAAACCCAAUGGUGUGAACAGAAGAGACCUCAACUUCAUCCCCUGACAGGUCAAUACUAAAAGCAAAAAGUCAGCCCUGCUCGUCACCAUUAAAAGGUACGUGAUCUGACUUCUUAUAAGAUCGGACAUAUAGCUAAGAACCGAGCUCAUGGUUAAAGACUAAUUCAGCUCGGAAAAAGCUUAUGAACAAGAAUAUCUUAGUAAAAUAGAUAGAUGGAUAAGUCAAAAGUUCAGACAAUUGAUAGAGUUUUGGUCCUGAUGGGCUUAAGGGUAAAAAGGAAAAACAAUACAGUGGAUUUCUUAGAAAAAUUAUCAAGUACAUAGCUUAAACAUUUCACUCUUGACAAGCCAGAUUGCUUGUAACAGUAUAAGUAGCUUUAUGAAGUUAAAAAACAAGCAGAACAGUUUAAGUGUGAACAGUGAACAAAAGUAAAAUUUCAUUAAAAAGUAUAGAGAAAUUUACAAUCUAAUCAUCUAAGAUUGCUGGAGGAAAGACCGUCCUCAGAGGACUCACAUGCUUAGGGGCAUCACCCUCAGCUACACUGGCGUCUAUAUUAUCCCUUACACUAUCUACACUAUCCGUGUUUACAUUGUCUACAUUGCUGCCCACGGGAGGUCUGGCCUCCUCUCGCUCAGACUCCCCAGCACCUACAAAAGGAACAAUCUCCAGCCCUGGAGGUCCAGCACCUCCCUCUCCUAGUUCUACACCUUCCUUUUGAGGCUCGACGCCGCCCCCCUCAGGUUCGAGGACUCCCACACCCUCCGUAUUCAGCUCGGACUCUGCCUCAGAAGACCCAGCUGCAGUAAGAGAAGUCCCUUUGGGCAAAGGCAUAUCGUCCUCCCCGUAGAUCACAUCCUCACCAUCGGAAUCCUCCUCUUUGGCUCGAAGUACAGUCAAGGGGAUGGAGGGAUUAUGUCUGGCCUCCCUUAAACCUCGAUUGAAGCCAGAGACGAACAUACGGAGACCUUUAUACCAUAUGGCCUCUUUCAUCUCAUUCGAAGCUUUAUAUUCCGUAAGUCGUUUCUCGCAGGCCUCAGCUAUCUCGGCUUUUAGCUCAGAAGAAUUCUUGUAAUCUUGGAGGUAAGCUUCACUGGCCUGCUGGAUCUCCUUCUUCAACUCGGGGGACUCCUUAUACUCCUUCAAAUGCUUCUCAACCUCCAGCUGGACCUUAUCCUCGGCUAAUUUGGCCUCUUCAGACAGGGCUGAGCAUCUCUUCUCUAGGGUCUUGACUUGUUGGCAGAGUUGCUGCUUCUGAAGUUUAGACUCCUCUGCUGCCAAAGUCAAGCCCUUAAUGCUAUCGGCCUGCUUACUCAGCUCCUGCUUCAGGACCACAACCCGAGCUACAGCCUCACUCUUUUGAGCCAGCACAACAUCUAAUUUUACUUUCAGCUGCUCGUACUGGCGCUGAACUUCCUUCUUCUGGCUCACGGCCUCGUCCCUUUCGCGCAGAGCAUCCACGGUGGAGGACAGCUGCUUCAGAACUUCUCCACAAUGAACCUCUGCCGCAGCUGCCCUCUCGUCAGACUCUUGGAGAACCCUCCGGAUGUGAGACAAUUCUGUUUCUAGAGACUGGGCAUGCUUUCGCACCUCAGAUAUCUCCUCCUCUGCCUUCUUACGGGCCUCCUUAGCUACGUAUAAAUCGAACUGGAGGGACCUAUAGUCCUCUUGGAUCGCGGCGAGAUUGCCCCGGGCAUCGCUGGACGCGGAUAAAUUCUCCUCAAGACGUGCUUCCUCGAUCCGACGGUCCACCGAGUCCUUGAGGGCACGAUCCCGGGCAUCCAUCUCCAUGAAUAUGCCAGUAACCUAGUAAACAAGAAGACAAGAGAAGCUGAGAGAUAGAGAAAGGUAGAAACGAAUUAAGGGUAGAAAAGAACCAAACAGAACUCACCAUCAAAAGCAUCUCCCUGGCAGUGUUUCCCAGCUGCUCUCUAGACCGAGCUCGGGAGGCCACAUGCUCUUGAGUAGAGCUGGCUAGAUGACCAGAAAGAGCCAGCAGACGAGGAUCUUAAGCCUGAGUGACUCCACCGAACAUUCAUUCUCGGAUUAUUUCAGCAACCACAGUCGCCGGAGUCUGAUGGGUGAUGUCCUCGGCAUUCAGGAUAAGUAGGGGCACCACUGCAGUUUUCUCCUUCUCGAGGGGAGGCAAUGCAGGGGCAGCACGCUUAGAACCCCGAGAUUUCUUAGGAACGGGGGCAGGAGCAUCAGAUGAAAGGGGGCGCUUCUUCCCGACCUCCUCAGUAACCCCCGCAGAAGUAGCCAAAGACUCCUUCUGGAGGGGUAUUUCCUCAGUCGACCUGGACUCAGUUGUCUUCGCCAACAUAUCCCUAAUAACAAGGACGUCCUCAUCAGCGGCUCCUUGAACGUCAUCCUCUACAGAGAUGACCGCCCGGUCUCUUGCAGGAGCCUUGUUAAUGGUUGGGAAGACCUCAGCUCCUUCUUCAGAGAUUUUCUUUGAAGGCAAAGAUAAAUCAGUCCUCUUCAGUUCGACGCCCUCGGCCGAUCUAGCCGUAUCCGAAGGAGCUUUCUUCACUUCUUCUAUAGAGGCCAGCCGAGAUCUGGAGGUUGGAGAAGACUGGGGAAUUGAGCUCGAUCCACCACGACUAGAUGAUCUGGAAGACCUGGCACCCCUGGAGCUCGGUUUGGAAGCUCGACCAGAGGGCAGAGCUGGGGUCUUAGUCAUCAUCCUAAUGGAAAUAGUCUUAGCUACCUCCUGGGUGGCCUCUUUCACCGACAGCCCGGCUCGAAGAGCAUCCAGAGCCGCGUUCAUGCUCUCACGAGAUAAUACGAGGUUCUUCGGGGGCUUGAUCUGUUCCAUCUUCACGUCAGAAGCUGCAAAAAUGCGAAAUUAAUACAGAACAAGACAAUUUUCCACAAAGAUUACCCAGACAAAAUAACACUACUGAGUGGAGUAAAAUACCCGCUUCACUAAUAUCAUGAAGAUUAGACACAAACAUGCAUUUCUCAACAUCAUAUUUCUUUUCAAUAGAGGUCAGCCAAACAAAUCCAACUUGUUCGGUAAGACUCAGCUGGAGCGGGUCAUUGCAGUUCAGUGCAACUUCUUCCCAGGAAAGCUCUAGAUCCCAGACUAGCCCGGACUCCUUCCUGAGCUCCACUACGACAAAGCCCUCCAUCCAGCCUUUUAUCGAAUCCUUAUGACCCGAAAAGAUCGAGAGUCCUCCUCGAGGAGAAAAAUAAUAAAAACAGUGGCUUGCUCUGACUAAUCGGAAGAAGGAGACAAACAAAUUCACCGUGGGUGUGAUCCCCCGGCUUAGACACACGGACUCAAAAAAGGACAUAAACAAAAUGGAGUUGGGGACUAGCAUCCGAGGAGUUAUCCCGAAGUACCGGAAGACCUCCGUAAAGAAAGGAGAGAAAGGGAAAGUUAAGCCAAACUCCCUUUGUUUGGCAAAAAAGACCAGGCUCAGGUCUCGUUGGGGAUCGAUCAGGUCAGAAGGAGGAGGAUCGGGAAGAACAAUCCUUUCGUUUGGAUAAGGGGCACGGAUGCGAAAAAGGGGGGUAUCUAAAUACUCCCGAGAAAAGAAAUUUUUCAGAACGGACGGGGUGAUAUUAGACUCAACGUUAAGAACGUCAGGAAACUUUGGUUUUCCCAUAGAAUAACAAAGAAAAGAGCGUACCUUGGAAACGGCUGAGGAAGAAGGAUGAUGUAGGUAAAUCGCAGAGAAGACAGAAAAGAGAGCAGAGGUUGCAAGAAGGCAGAAAGAAUUUGAAAUGCAAAACAGUAAUGAGGUGAAAAGUCGCCCUGCAUGAUUUUGUCCUAGAGCGGCGCGGUCAUUAUUACUCUCGAUAUUUACCCCCUCGUCAGUCACUUAAUAACUAACGAGAGGGUAAAGGGGCAAUUGAUGACCGCUGGGCUCUUCCUCCCCGGUCUGGGGUCCAGCCCACGAUGCAGGCCCAUCGUCCCGAAGCCCUCGAACCUCACGACUCGCACUAAGUCCAGCUCCCCCUCUCCAAGGCCAGCCCGACCCUUCCGACUGGACUAGCCGAUCCUUGUUGGACUCGGCCCGUACCUCAUCCUCUGGCCCAACCCGGAACCAGAAAGUAGAUCCGCAUGUCCCUCGUGUGGAUCCACCCGCAUACGCGUCCUGAAAGAAUCAGAGGUCGUUACGCAUGAAGCAGAGAUCUGAUUCCCUCGUACGUCCAUAUCAACGUAGCAGGGACAGGUGGACCAAUAAUAUACGUUCUGUUAGCACGUCACUAGCAGACAAAAGGAAAUAUAUAAAAUGAGAAAUACUCUCCUUUAGGUCCAACACUUUUUUCAGUUUAACAGAACCCAUUGUAAAACCUAUUUUCUGGAUCUCAGAUCAUCAAUAAUAAUAUGAGUUUAAUAGUUAAUUUUUUUUAUGAUAUGAUUGAAUCAAUAGAUAACCUUAGCUUAAUGAAAGGAGUACUUCUAAAACAUUCAAUAACGUCAGUAAAACAAGCGACAAAGGGAACCUGGUAGUUUCCAAAGUAGUAUUUCAAUUAAGGAAGAAAAAAAAAAAAAAAAAACACUGCGAAUAAGUCAAUUUCUACGUGAGCAACAUUUGAAAGGCAUACAAAC